rnacentral:rRNA from 1 species
GACGGAGGAUGCAAGCGUUAUCCGGAAUGAUUGGGCGUAAAGCGUCCGCAGGUGGCAGUUCAAGUCUGCUGUCAAAGACCGGGGCUUAACUUCGGAAAGGCAGUGGAAACUGAACAGCUAGAGUAUGGUAGGGGAGAAUGGAAUUCCCGGUGUAGCGGUGAAAUGCGCAGAUAUCGGGAGGAACACCGGUGGCGAAGGCGAGUCUCUGGGAUGAUGCUGACGCUGAGGCGCGAAAGCCAGGGGAGCAAACGGG